rnacentral:rRNA from 1 species
AGAGUUUGAUCAUGGCUCAGAGCGAACCUGGCGGCAUGCUUAACACAUGCAAGUCAAGGGGGCCCAGCAAUGGGCAACCGGCGAACGGGUGCGUAACACGUGAGCAACCUACCGAACUGUGGGGGAUAGCCGGCCUAACGGCCGAGUAAUACCGCAUACGCUCUCAGAGAGGCAUUUCUUUGAGAGGAAACCUACGGGACAGAUCGAGGGGCUCGCGGCCUAUCAGCUAGUUGGCGAGGUAACGGCUCACCAAGGCAACGACGGGUAGCUGGUCUGAGAGGAUGGCCAGCCACAUUGGGACUGAGAUACGGCCCAGACUCCUACGGGAGGCAGCAGUGGGGAAUCUUGCGCAAUGGCCUAACGGCUGACGCAGCGACGCCGCGUGUGGGAUGAAGCUCCUCGGAGUGUAAACCACUGUUGCCCGGGACGAAUAGCACGAUUAAUCGAGCCUGACGGUACCGGGUGAGGAAGCACCGGCUAACUCCGUGCCAGCAGCCGCGGUAAUACGGGGGGUGCGAGCGUUGUCCGGAAUCACUGGGCGUAAAGGGCGCGUAGGUGGUUUGAUAAGGGUGUGGUGAAAGUCCGGGGCUCAACCCCGGAUCUGCCGUGCUGACUGUCAAACUCGAGGGCUGUAGAGGCAGGCGGAAUUCCGGGUGUAGCGGUGGAAUGCGUAGAGAUCCGGAGGAAGACCGGUGGCGAAGGCGGCCUGCUGGGCAGUUUCUGACACUGAUGCGCGACAGCGUGGGGAUCAAACAGGAUUAGAUACCCUAGUAGUCC